rnacentral:lncRNA from 1 species
GGACGGCGUCCCGACCGUCCUCGAAACCGACCCGGUAGGAGGCGAAGCCCGACUCGAGCAUCUCCUCCUUGUACCGGUCGGAGGCCCGGAAGUCCUCCACCACGCGAUCGGCCGACUCCCUCGCCGACCGUGCCUCGUCCUCGGCGCGGGCUAGCUCCUCCCUCGCCGACUCCGCCACGGCCUUAGCCAUUUCGGCGUCGACCUGGGCGAUGGACAGCUCCUCUUCGGCUUCAGCAAGCUUCCCCAGGCUGACCCGAAGUUGCUCGCGUUCCCCUUAGAGUUCAGCGGUGGCCCAAUCCCGUUCGUGCCGAAGACGACGCACGGCCCGACCUUUGUGCUUGGCCUCCUUCUUGGCCGACUUCAGUUCGGCCAUGAGCUGGGAGACCUCGUCCGUCAACUUGGCCUCCCGGUCGGCCGACUCCUGCAGUUGGUCGACUAGCCUCGCCCUUUCGGUCUCGGCCGCCGCCGACCUUUCUUUGAAGGCUGCCCGAACGUCGCCGAACCUUCGGUAUCCGGCCUCCAGUUCGGACAUGGUGAAGAUCAGCUGCCGAAGGAAAAAGGCUUCGUCAGAAUUAUGCGACAAAUCCACUCCCAGUCGUCCGGGCUUGCUACCCGAAUGAGGGCAUCGGCCAGCUCACCACCCGACUUGGGAGUGGAGGGGGGCAACUGUUGGGGGAU